rnacentral:rRNA from 1 species
GGAGGGAGCUAGCGUUGUUCGGAAUUACUGGGCGUAAAGCGUGCGUAGGCGGUGAUUCAAGUCAGAGGUGAAAGCCUGGAGCUCAACUCCAGAACGGCCUUUGAAACUAGAUCGCUAGAAUUAUGGAGAGGUAAGUGGAAUUCCGAGUGUAGAGGUGAAAUUCGUAGAUAUUCGGAAGAACACCAGUGGCGAAGGCGACUUACUGGACAUAUAUUGACGCUGAGGUACGAAAGCGUGGGGAGCAAACAGGAUUAGAUACCCUGGUAGUCCACGCCGUAAACGAUGAUAACUAGCUGUUCGGGCUCUCAGAGCUUGAGUGGCGCAGCUAACGCAUUAAGUUAUCCGCCUGGGGAGUACGGUCGCAAGAUUA